CAGUCACACAGCCUUAAAAAUUGGAACCAGAGCAGGAGAAUCUCCCUUUCUCUCCACUCUAAGCAAAUUUCCGGUAUUCCUUGGCCCUCUUCCACUCCAGUACUGGGUCUUUGCCUCCUCACUCUUCUGUUUUUAUCAAACUCACUUUCCCCACUGGCCCGUGCAGCUGCUUUUCCUUCAUAAAUACAACCCCAAGGAUACCAGUUUGUCUAGAAUUCUUUCACAGUCGCCACUAAAAGAAACCGAGUCUUUUGUAGGUGAGAGGAAGAACUUGUCAGUAAAGCAUCUUUCCUCACACUUUAGUCAAAUUAGUAGUAAAGGCACCAGUGCAAGAAACCACGAUGUCCUCGGGAGGAGGAACUUUUCCCCGUGUGAAAAAAAAAAUGAAAAGGAAGUCCCUUAUACGCAACACUGAGCCAACAUACGAGGGGAAACGGCAAACCUCUAUAAUAUAAAAAUAGACACAAUAAUCGACUUGAACGAUUUAAUCUCGGAAAGUAAUUUGCAGGGACCUCAGAAAUACUAAACAGGUACCAAUUAAAUAAAGUCGAGAGAUGAUCAGAGAAGCGGCUGAAAUACACACGAGGCCAAAGAAACCUGCCGGAUGCAUUAGUAUUUUAACGCGUGAGCGGCCG
rnacentral:lncRNA from 1 species